rnacentral:siRNA from 1 species
ACACGGUGUUUGUUGACAAGUAUA